rnacentral:rRNA from 1 species
ACGCUAGCGACAGGCUUAACACAUGCAAGUCGUGGGGCAGCACAGGUAGCAAUACCGGGUGGCGACCGGCGCACGGGUGAGUAACGCGUAUGCAACUUGCCUAUCAGAGGGGGAUAACCCGGCGAAAGUCGGACUAAUACCGCAUGAAGCAGGGAUCCCGCAUGGGAAUAUUUGCUAAAGAUUCAUCGCUGAUAGAUAGGCAUGCGUUCCAUUAGGCAGUUGGCGGGGUAACGGCCCACCAAACCGACGAUGGAUAGGGGUUCUGAGAGGAAGGUCCCCCACAUUGGUACUGAGACACGGACCAAACUCCUACGGGAGGCAGCAGUGAGGAAUAUUGGUCAAUGGGCGUAAGCCUGAACCAGCCAAGUCGCGUGAGGGAUGAAGGUUCUAUGGAUCGUAAACCUCUUUUAUAAGGGAAUAAAGUGCGGGACGUGUCCCGUUUUGUAUGUACCUUAUGAAUAAGGAUCGGCUAACUCCGUGCCAGCAGCCGCGGUAAUACGGAGGAUCCGAGCGUUAUCCGGAUUUAUUGGGUUUAAAGGGUGCGUAGGCGGCCUUUUAAGUCAGCGGUGAAAGUCUGUGGCUCAACCAUAGAAUUGCCGUUGAAACUGGGGGGCUUGAGUAUGUUUGAGGCAGGCGGAAUGCGUGGUGUAGCGGUGAAAUGCAUAGAUAUCACGCAGAACCCCGAUUGCGAAGGCAGCCUGCCAAGCCAUUACUGACGCUGAUGCACGAAAGCGUGGGGAUCAAAACAGGAUUAGAUACCCUGGUAGUCCACGCAGUAAACGAUGAUCACUAGCUGUUUGCGAUACACUGUAAGCGGCACAGCGAAAGCGUUAAGUGAUCCACCUGGGGAGUACGCCGGCAACGGUGAAACUCAAAGGAAUUGACGGGGGCCCGCACAAGCGGAGGAACAUGUGGUUUAAUUCGAUGAUACGCGAGGAACCUUACCCGGGUUUGAACGCAUUCGGACCGAGGUGGAAACACCUUUUCUAGCAAUAGCCGUUUGCGAGGUGCUGCAUGGUUGUCGUCAGCUCGUGCCGUGAGGUGUCGGCUUAAGUGCCAUAACGAGCGCAACCCUUGCCACUAGUUACUAACAGGUAAAGCUGAGGACUCUGGUGGGACUGCCAGCGUAAGCUGCGAGGAAGGCGGGGAUGACGUCAAAUCAGCACGGCCCUUACAUCCGGGGCGACACACGUGUUACAAUGGCGUGGACAAAGGGAAGCCACCUGGCGACAGGGAGCGAAUCCCCAAACCACGUCUCAGUUCGGAUCGGAGUCUGCAACCCGACUCCGUGAAGCUGGAUUCGCUAGUAAUCGCGCAUCAGCCAUGGCGCGGUGAAUACGUUCCCGGGCCUUGUACACACCGCCCGUCAAGCCAUGGGAGCCGGGGGUACCUGAAGUCCGUAACCGCGAGGAUCGGCCUAGGGUAAAACUGGUGACUGGGGCUA